CCUGCAUCAUGGACAUCCAUCCAAACACCCAGCUAAACAUCUGAAGCGGUAUCAUCUAAACCAUCACUUCAAAGUUCAAAACAAGGUGUUUGGAAUAACUUCUUCACUCUGGGACAUCAUCUUUGGCACAUUGCCACCAGCAAAAACCUCUCAUCAGAAAAACUGAUUCUUUUGGACAAUGCAAGAAUAGCUUGUAAUUUAUUGAGAUUCCCUACUGUUCUCUUUGGUGGUUCCUUUUUUUUUCCUGCAUAUCCCAAAUAAAUAAACAUUGCUCUCCAAUUCUUUCCUUGGAUACAUCACAGAUCAGUGCCCUUGAUCAUCAUGUAUUGAGGACAUUAUUUGAUGAAAGCUACCUUGUGUAUUAAACCAGUUUAUAUGGAAACAUGAGUUUUUAAUUGGUCA